UGAGUGGUGAUUGGUUUGUUACGGGUGGUUGGCUUUUUGCUUGCGCAACAACUUCCACCUGGCAUACCUCCUCAAUUAUGCGUCAAGGCUUGUAUCGCCUGGAGCGUAUUGUGGGUUUUCUGUAUUGAAUACCUAAUUGACGGUAUUGUUCUCAUCGAUUAAAGUCCCUUUUCGUCUUGUGUGGCAUUUUGUGACACAUGGUGAACCUUGAAGCGGUCUCUAUGAUCCAUGUUGUUGAUGCGAAUGCAUUGAUGUUGUGGCCCAUUGAGCUUUGCUUGGUUUCUUGUAUACGGAAUAUGAUGUGGGCAUGAGGGUUUGUUAUGAUCCUUGUUUUGCCCUCGUUUGGUGUUCUCUAAAACGACGGUUCAUGCGCGCCUAGGCUUGUACCUGCGCGAUGUUCUAUGUUGUAGAGGAAUGC
rnacentral:misc_RNA from 1 species